rnacentral:lncRNA from 1 species
UUUUGAUUAUCGUGUCAUUAUCAAAUACAAUAGUUCUAAGAAGUUCAGAUGGAGAAUCAUCCGAUACUCUUCUCUGGCUUCAUCUUCUCUUCUCUGUGAUUCUGGGCUCCUGCUGCUGAUAUAAAUGGUUUUUAAGGAAACUUGUUUCUUUAAUCCGGCUGAGUGUAGCGAAUCUUCCAUAAGAAUAAAACGGAGAGAAAUCUGAUGAGCAGUUUGUUUGGUGGUCGACUGGUCCAAAUCCAUUCGCUCUCUCGAUUCUCUUCUCUCUCAAUCGUGCGUUAUUCGGGAUAUCUAUCUGGAAUCAAUCAUAUUGCUAUAGUCAAUUGGAGCUUUAUAAGCAUGUGAUUAAGGAAUGCGAAAAGGCGCUUCAAAUUGAUUCUACUCUCCUUCAACCUUAUACCCUAAAAGUGACGUUGUCAAAAAAAAGAAAUAGAGCAUAAAGAGAGCAUAGUGACCAGCUUUGAGAACAUGAGGAAUCUCAAGUUUAAGCAGCUUAGAGAGCAACUCAAAUCCACUAGCAGAUAUAUGUUGCUGGGUACCGGCUCACUUUAGUCCAUUGCUGGUUUGGUAAAAAGAUUUGGUAUUUGGUCCAGAAUCUGCAUGUUACAGGAGUCACAACCUGCAUUCAGAGGGGUUCUUGGUACGGGUUAUACCUAUUCGGAAUUCUUAGUCAGUUUGCAGCUCUCCGAGUUUCCAGUGGCUGGGUGUCGAGCCUAAGUUUGGCCUAUAAUUGCUGGUCCUGGAACUGUUAUUUGCUGGAACGAAAUGGCGCCUAGUUAUCUCACCACGGAAUGCAAAAGAGCGGUAUUUGACCUUCCACAAUGUUACUGCCAUGGUUGGAUUUGGUUACCAGCAGCAGCAGCAUCUGGUUCUUGGAAUGAGGCCGGGUGGUGGUCGUAGGUUUGCACUAGCUGUCUGAUUAGGUCAAAGCCGUGGGACUGGUUCCGUCCAAACAACUUCCAUGCAGCAACAGAUAUGUAAAUGAUGUUUACUAAUUAUAAUACCAUGUUGUCUUACUAUUGAAUUAAUUAAAUAUAAACUCAGUUAUGAUAAAUUAUUAAUUGGGUAGUUUAUUGAUGACAAACAGUAUGUAUUUGGAGCAUAAUUAACUUUCUAU